rnacentral:lncRNA from 1 species
AUCAAUCACCACUUCCUUUCUCUCCUCAAGUCACGCUGCUUUCGAUCAAGAAGGGGGUAAGGAUUUAAUGUUCCUCCUUUCACAAACUGUUUCACCUCAUCCACUACUAAUGUGUUGGUGAUUACUUAUUCUGCAGAAACAACAAAUUCACAAUAUACAUCCCUCAUAUCUCAAGGUUUUUCCUAUACUGAGAAUCUAUAUUUCAAUGUUCCAUUAUCAUUAUAUUUUUUUUUUUAUGAUCCAUACAAACACAUCAAGAGAGCCAAAACAUAUCGCUUUAUCGGCAAGUAUUACAGUUACAAUAGAAAUUUCAUAUAUGUUUUUGAUAAAAAAAAAGAACAGAAGAAUACACACGCACACAUGAUGAUAUAUUUUCUAAGCUAUUACAUUUACAAGGUUUGAUUUUUGCUAAGGAAAUGAGAAAUGAAUGAUGAAAGAACAGAUUUCUAAACAAAACCCUAACUUUGCUAUACUUGUGAAUCUGGACUGAAUAUGAGGCUUGAACCCCUGUUUUGUAUGUGUGAGUCGAGAGAGGGAGAGGGCAGCCAUGGUGACUCUUCGUCGCCGGCGGUUGACGGACGGCGACGGAGCCGCGGUGGUUUCCGAUCUGCCAAAGAGGGGAAAGGAGAUGAGUAUUUCAGUUUUUAAAAAAAAAAAAAGGAAAAGAUGAGGGAAGAAAAAAAAGAGAAUAGGGAAUUAGGGCUUACCUUAAGCUGCCGGAUGACGGAAGCGGCGCCGGUCGUGGUGGCUCCAGCCUUCGGCUGGAGAAGAUGAACCAGGCGCGGCGGCGACGUGGAGGCUGUUUCCGCCGGGUUAGGUAAGACAGAGGGCGAGAGAUAUGAGGCGAGGUGAUGGCUUGUCGCUGCCACUUCGCCGGAGCGCGAGAGGUUUGAAGAGAGUCGAGGGAGAUAGAGGGCGCCGGUGACAGCCGCCUCAUCUGCUGCUGCUGUCGGCGGUGGCGUGGUGGCCGCGAUGCCGAUGGAUGGCGGCGGCUUCUCGCCAGAGAGAGAGUGGAGAGUUCAGCGCAGCGGAAGUGUGGUGGGCGUGUCCUGUACUCACGGUCAGAGAGAGAGACGAGGGAGGCGGCGGCGCCUCGCCGUCGCCAAGGUGAAGGCCGGUGCCGGGUUCUGUGAGUGAAGGGAACGAGGGAGGUGAUGAUGUGAGGGCGGCGGCCGUGAUUGAUCGCGGCGCUCUUCGCCGGAGAAGAGGGCGGCGCCGCACCAACCCCUGGUGUGUGCGUCAGUGUGUGUGUGCGUGUCAUCUGAGUGUGUGUGUGCGUGAAAUUAAGAGAGGGAGGAGAAAGGUAAUAGGGUUUGGGUUUUGGGCCUGGAUUGUUGGGCUUUUGGUUUGGGACUUGGCUUUAUUUCAGUUGGACCUUUUAUUUCAAAAGAGUUGGGCCCGAUUUAUUUAUAAUAAACUUGGGCUGCCCUUGUAUUUUGGGCUACGAAAUUUUAUAAAAAUGGGAGAGUGUCUUUGAUUUAAUUAUUUUAAAUGGGCUACCAAUAUUUAUUAAUUAGACUUAUAAUAUAGUUUGAUUAAUUAUUUUAAAAAAAAUAUAUAUUUGUAUAAUAAUAUAAUAUUAUUUUUAUUAUGUGCAUAUUUUAAGAAAGUACUUAUUAUAUGUUUUAAGCAUGACAUGAAAUUGCAUUUGCAUUAUGCAAUAGAAAGUUUUAUGAUUUAAUUGGAUUUAUUUAUAAAUUCAAUUAUUAAAAGAAAAUCUAGUAAGGAUAUUGUUGGUGUCCUUAGCUCAAGAAUUAGUUUUCAAUUUUUAUUAUUAAAUUUGAAAACCCGGCGUGAUGAAUCAAGUAUGUUUAGUACAUCCACUAAGACUUUAAGUUAGCUUCACGAGACCUAUUAAGAAUAGAAUUUCUUGUAGGCUUUAUGAACCAAGGAGAUUAGCGCUGCUUUCCCAAGACGAGUUUAUGUGAUUAUAAUCUUCAGGCUUUGCCUAUCCAGGUGGGCAUUACUUUUACUAUACGUAUAUAGAGAUCCCCUGCGUGUCGUAGGCCUCUUAUACGAAUAUAUGCAUGAGAUGAUUUUAACUGUUAAUUUCAGUUUAUUAUUAUGCCCAAAUGAUAAAUGACUCUUAUGAAAUGAAAAUGAAAUGUUAUGAAAUGAAAUGAAAUGUUUAUGAAAUGAUUGACUGCCAAAAAUGUUUAUGUUUUUAUAUGUAUCCUAUCUGUGUUGGUUCGCCAACUUUAAAGGAAAUCCAAUUGGGAUCCUAUGCUAGACAAAGGUCGCUAGCUAGGGUUAACGUGUACACUCAUGGAGACCGCGAGUCGCUUGCGACCGGUCUUGGCGUCCGUGGUAAGGAGGCCUCCUUCCCGGCGCGUGACAGAAAGGAACAGAUAUGGAUCAUAUGAAGGAAAAUGAUCGGCCGAUCGACUUUAUGAAAAUGAAAGAAAUAUUUUAGUAAGCGCAGGUCAUUCAAGAAAACCCCUGUGUGUUACUGUUAUGGCAGUUCAAUUUAUAUAUGUAUGCAUGAUUGUAUUUUCGGCUAUGCCCACUGAGUAUUUUUAUACUCAGCCCUGCAUGUAUUUCUAAAUGUGCAGGUUGAGCAGCUGAUGAAAUGGAAUGAUGUUGAGCGGGUGCUCCUUUGACAUUUCAAGAAAUGUAACCUUGAGUAUACAUCUUCAUAUGUAUAUCUCACACGUUUUCCGCUGAAAAACACUUUGAUUAGGAUAACUCUAUGUUAUGAAGUUGUGACACGUGUUAUUGGGUAACCCACCUUAAUCAGUUCUCAUUUAUGUGUAUGUGUUAUAAGUAUCCAAAUGAUCAUAUAUGAUCC